AUUGAACGCUGGCGGCAGGCCUAACACAUGCAAGUCGAACGAGUGGCGGACGGGUGAGUAAUGUCUGGGAAACUGCCCGAUGGAGGGGGAUAACUACUGGAAACGGUAGCUAAUACCGCAUACCAUCGGAUGUGCCCAGAUGGGAGUAGCUAGUAGGUGGGGUAACGGCUCACCUAGGCGACGAUCCCUAGCUGGUCUGAGAGGAUGACCAGCCACACUUGAACUGAGACACGGUCCAGACUCCUACGGGAGGCAGCAGUGGGGAAAAUUUCCCAAUGGUGGCAAGGCUGAUUCAGCCAUGCCGCGUGUAUGAAGAAGGCCUUCGGGUUGUAAAGUACUUUCAGCGAGGAGGCGUUACUCGCAGAAGAAGCACCGGCUAACUCCGUGCCAGCCGCCGCGGUAAUAC
rnacentral:rRNA from 1 species